rnacentral:rRNA from 1 species
GACGAACCGUCCUAACGUUAUUCGGAAUCACUGGGCUUAAAGCGUGCGCAGGCGGUUCGCCAAGUCAGGUGUGAAAUCCCCGGGCUUAACCUGGGAAUUGCGCUUGAAACUAGCGGGCUUGAGUGUGGCAGAGGGGGGUGGAAUUCCACGUGUAGCAGUGAAAUGCGUAGAGAUGUGGAGGAACACCGAUGGCGAAGGCAGCCCCCUGGGCUAACACUGACGCUCAUGCACGAAAGCGUGGGGAGCAAACAGG